UACGGGAGGCAGCAGUGGGGAAUAUUGCACAAUGGGCGAAAGCCUGAUGCAGCGACGCCGCGUGAGGGAUGACGGCCUUCGGGUUGUAAACCUCUUUCAGCAGGGAAGAAGCGAAAGUGACGGUACCUGCAGAAGAAGCGCCGGCUAACUACGUGCCAGCAGCCGCGGUAAUACGUAGGGCGCAAGCGUUGUCCGGAAUUAUUGGGCGUAAAGAGCUCGUAGGCGGCUUGUCACGUCGGUUGUGAAAGCCCGGGGCUUAACCCCGGGUCUGCAGUCGAUACGGGCAGGCUAGAGUGUGGUAGGGGAGAUCGGAAUUCCUGGUGUAGCGGUGAAAUGCGCAGAUAUCAGGAGGAACACCGGUGGCGAAGGCGGAUCUCUGGGCCAUUACUGACGCUGAGGAGCGAAAGCGUGGGGAGCGAACAGGAUUAGAUACCCUGGUAGUCCACGCCGUAAACGGUGGGAACUAGGUGUUGGCGACAUUCCACGUCGUCGGUGCCGCAGCUAACGCAUUAAGUUCCCCGCCUGGGGAGUACGGCCGCAAGGCUAAAACUCAAAGGAAUUGACGGGGGCCCGCACAAGCAGCGGAGCAUGUGGCUUAAUUCGACGCAACGCGAAGAACCUUACCAAGGCUUGACAUAUACCGGAAAGCAUCAGAGAUGGUGCCCCCCUUGUGGUCGGUAUACAGGUG
rnacentral:rRNA from 1 species